CAUGCUGCUCCAGAGGGAACCUGCGAGUGCUUAUCAUAUCAGUGUGGAUGUUUGCUCAGUUAAGUAGCCUAACAUAGGGUUUUUAAACCCAGUUUAUAUUUGAAAUUAUUGAAAAUAGUUGAGGAUGAUCAAAAACUGACGUUAUCUGUUUGUGUUUCAUGAUAAAAGCGUAUCCUUCGUAGCUGCAGGAACUCUCAUUUCCUUUGGAAUGGGGGAAAUGUCCUGCAACGAUCUGCAAUGCCAGGAAAUAUCUUUAAACGCUGGCACACUGGCACACAUGGGUCUGUGUUUGUAUAUUAACCAGCAUGCACUUGGAGCAACAAAUCAGUGCAUCCGAGUUCUGAAAAAGGAGGAAAGCGAAAAGAUCUGCCGCCACCUAGUGGUGAAUUUGCCUUAUCAACUUUUCAUCAACAAUGUCUUCUUUCUCGGAAAUUGUGUUUUGUCCAUAUUUUUCUCCACACAAAGUUUUGCUCUGGAACAAUGCAGAUAUGACCGUAUAAAUCCCCUUUUCCCCUAAAUGGUUCAGAUGUGUUAGAUGAUGCCGGUAAUAUUUUAACUUAUGGGCAUUUCUUGAUCAUCACGGCUUUCCUGCUCCGCUAAAAGAAAACAAUACAUUAAUAAAAGCUAUACCAGCAGGUUUAUACCAAUUAGUUAGAAGUCAGGUAAUGUUGAGUGAAGGUAAUGCGGCGUCUCCUGUUUUGUUUGGGGGUGGUAGUAACUUUUUAGACAAGAAGUGUAACAACAAACAUAUUCACAGGCUUCUUCAAGUUAAAAAAAAAGAUUACUCCAAGUCUUUAUAUUUUUAGCACUUUAAAUAAGGUGUACAAUUUUGCCCUCAAAAAAUAUUAUUUGUUAUUAUGAAACACCAAAACAUUUUUCCUUUGAAUAUAUUGUUAAUUUUUUUUAUGUUGUAUUUAAAACUAUUUCCAUAAGCAAAAAUGGUCC